rnacentral:snRNA from 1 species
ACUAAUUUACACUUGCAGUAUUGUAGCCAAUGAGGUUUAUCCGAGGCGCGAUUAUUGCUAAUUGAAAAUAAAUAUAUUUU